rnacentral:rRNA from 1 species
UUCAUUGGCGAGUGUGUGUGUGCGUGCGCUGUGGCAGCGGCUUUUUUGGCUGCGCUCGGUGCGUGUGUUGUGCUUGCUUGCUGGUGCCCUGUGCUGCGGUGGGACGUCAAGGUCAGUUCGUAUGCUGCGGGAAAUGGCUGCUGAGGAGGUAGGGCUUACGCUCUGCGUUUGUCUAUUAUAUCUUGGCGGACGAGUCGUCGCGGUUGGGACUGAGGUGCCUACAACGUGCUUUUGAGUGGGUGUGUGUCUCCGUGUGCGCCGUGUGCGGAUAGCUUGCUAUGCGUGUGUGGUUGUGUGUGGAUUGAUGCGUGUCUUAACUUGUCGCCGUUCGGGACGUUGACGAAAUGGAGCGAUCCGACCCGUCUUGAAACACGGACCAAGGAGUCUAACAUGUGUGCAAGUGUUAGGGUGUGGAAACCCCAGCGCGAAAUGAAAGUGAAGGGCAGCGCAAGUUGUCUGAGGUAGGAAACGUUGCGGGCUUCGGUCUGCGGYGUGGCACUAUCGACCGAUCAUGAACCUUCGUGGUGAAAGAUUUGAGUUUGAGCACAUAUGUUGGUACCCGAAAGAUGGUGAACUAUG